AAACAAUCCAGUCUCUUCCCAGCAGAGUCAGUGAGGAUGCGAUGGAUGUAUGUAGAUCUGGGACCACCCCUCAGCCAAGAUACUGACUGUAACAUGGAAGGAUGACCUUUUGGAAAGUGAGAGAAGAAACCAUAUGCUCUACCUGAAAACACCUAUUUAGAUGCCAACCAUAAAUAAAUAUCUGUUGAGUGAAAAGGCACAAUGCCCUGCAUUAUGGGGACAUUUUAUGCAAAUAGCACUUCAACUCUGUGAAACUCUGUAUCAGACACUGUAAC
rnacentral:lncRNA from 13 species